GGGGCCAUAGCUUAGUGGCAGAGCAUCGCAUUCGCAUUGCGAGGAUAAGGGUUCGAUUCCCUUUGGCUCCA
rfam:Candidatus Portnoybacteria bacterium RIFCSPHIGHO2_12_FTLL_40_11 rifcsphigho2_12_scaffold_30847, whole genome shotgun sequence.